rnacentral:rRNA from 1 species
CCUACGGGGGGCAGCAGUGAGGAAUAUUGGUCAAUGGGCGCGAGCCUGAACCAGCCAAGUCGCGUGAGGGAAGACGGUCCUAUGGAUUGUAAACCUCUUUUGUCGGGGAGCAAAAGACGCCACGCGUGGCGUUCCGAGAGUACCCGACGAAAAAGCAUCGGCUAACUCCGUGCCAGCAGCCGCGGUAAUACGGAGGAUGCGAGCGUUAUCCGGAUUUAUUGGGUUUAAAGGGUGCGCAGGCGGAAGAUCAAGGCAGCGGUAAAAUUGAGAGGCUCAACCUCUUCGAGCCGUUGAAACUGGUUGUCUUGAGUGAGUGAGAAGUAUGCGGAAUGCGUGGUGUAGCGGUGAAAUGCAUAGAUAUCACGCAGAACUCCGAUUGCGAAGGCAGCAUACCGGCGCUCAACUGACGCUCAUGCACGAAAGUGUGGGUAUCGAACAGGAUUAGAUACCCUAGUAGUC